CACACCGGAGAAAUUUAAUUCUUGAAAGCGUUUUGUAUAAAUAAAUUUUAAUGUCAUUUUGAAACUAAACAUUUCUCCAAGCUGGAACAUGAGGCGUAUCUGCCAUUUAAUUUUAUUAUCCUUAUUAUUUAACAUGACAAUAUUUCCUAAAAGAGAAGUUUUAGCCAAGAGAUGCUACAGAGAUGAUGAAUGUGGAAUUGGUCAAUGUUGUAUUAAAAGAAAUUGUAGAGGAUAUGCACGCGAAGGAGUAGAAACCACAUUCCUCCUCCCUCUCAACGACUCAGGUUAUAGCCUAUACUGUAUCCAUGAAAGGUAUAUUGAUAUUUACUUAUAAUAAGAAACUUGUAUUCUUUUAAGUAAUUAACAUUUUGGCUAUUAAGACAUAAAUCUUUUAUUUUAAAUUAGGUUUAAGAAUAAUAAAAAACUUUUUAUUUUUAAUGUAUUUAAU